GACGAACGCUGGCGGCGUGCUUAACACAUGCAAGUCGAACGCUGAACCCACUUCGGUGGGGGAUGAGUGGCGAACGGGUGAGUAACACGUGGGCAACCUGCCCCCGGCUCUGGGAUAACUCCAAGAAAUUGGGGCUAAUACCGGAUGUGACCGCUGGCCGCAUGGUCUGGUGGUGGAAAGGGUUUCCGGCUGGGGAUGGGCCCGCGGCCUAUCAGCUUGUUGGUGGGGUAGUGGCCUACCAAGGCGACGACGGGUAGCCGGCCUGAGAGGGUGACCGGCCACACUGGGACUGAGACACGGCCCAGACUCCUACGGGAGGCAGCAGUGGGGAAUAUUGCGCAAUGGGCGGAAGCCUGACGCAGCGACGCCGCGUGGGGGAUGACGGCCUUCGGGUUGUAAACCUCUUUCAGCAGGGACGAAGCGCAAGUGACGGUACCUGCAGAAGAAGCACCGGCCAACUACGUG
rnacentral:rRNA from 1 species